ensembl:lncRNA
GGUCACACAGAGCACCUUGUGCUGUAACACUGACAACUGCAACACCGGAAGUCCUCCAGCUCCAGUAGUUGGCACGGCCAAUGGGAGGCAGUGUUUCAGCUGUGAGUUGACGGACUGCUCAAAAAUGGUUCAAUGUGCCGGUGAUGAGGAUCGCUGUCUCUCUGCAACAGUUAGUGCAGCUGGACAGAGCUCUACCGUAAAGGGCUGUGCUACCCAAAGUAUGUGCUCUGGAGGGGCUUCACAGUCGCUGGGCUCGUUGUCUGCGGAAGUGACCUGCUGUGAGGGGAAUCUGUGCAACGGUAAUGGAAUUGCCUCGAGUGCCUCGCCUGCUACACAGAGUGUUGGAGUUGCCUCGAGUGCCUCGCCUGCUACACAGAGUGUUGGAGUUGCCUCGAGUGCCUGCAGUGCUACACACAGUGUCCUGUUCCUGCUGUGGCCCCUGGGCUCUGUUCUGCU